GCUUUUUCGCAACGGGUUUGCCGCCAGAACAGAGGUGUCGUGAAAACUACCCCUAAAAGCCAAAAUGGGAAAGGAAAAGACUCAUAUCAACAUUGUCGUCAUUGGACACGUAGAUUCGGGCAAGUCCACCACUACUGGCCAUCUGAUCUACAAAUGCGGUGGCAUCGACAAAAGAACCAUUGAAAAAUUUAAGAAGGAGGCUGCUGAGAUGGGAAAGGGCUCCUUCAAGUAUGCCUGGGUCUUGGAUAAACUGAAAGCUGAGCGGGAACGUGGUAUCACCAUUGAUAUCUCCUUGUGGAAAUUUGAGACCAGCAAGUAUUAUGUGACUAUCAUUGAUGCCCCAGGACACAGAGACUUCAUCAAAAACAUGAUUACAGGGACAUCUCAGGCUGACUGUGCUGUCCUAAUUGUUGCUGCUGGUGUUGGUGAAUUUGAAGCUGGUAUCUCCAAGAAUGGGCAGACCCGAGAGCAUGCUCUUCUGGCUUACACACUGGGUGUGAAACAACUAAUUGUUGGUGUUAACAAAAUGGAUUCCACUGAGCCACCCUACAGCCAGAAGAGAUACGAGGAAAUUGUUAAGGAAGUCAGCACUUACAUUAAGAAAAUUGGCUACAACCCCGACACAGUAGCAUUUGUGCCAAUUUCUGGUUGGAAUGGUGACAACAUGCUGGAGCCAAGUGCUAACAUGCCUUGGUUCAAGGGAUGGAAGGUCACCCGUAAGGAUGGCAAUGCCAGUGGAACCACGCUGCUUGAGGCUCUGGACUGCAUCCUACCACCAACUCGUCCAACUGACAAGCCCUUGCGCCUGCCUCUCCAGGAUGUCUACAAAAUUGGUGGUAUUGGUACUGUUCCUGUUGGCCGAGUGGAGACUGGUGUUCUCAAACCCUGGUAUGGUGGUCACCUUUGCUCCAGUCAACGUAACGACUGAAGUAAAAUCUGUCGAAAUGCACCAUGAAGCUUUGAGUGAAGCUCUUCCUGGGGACAACGUGGGCUUUAAUGUCAAGAAUGUGUCUGUCAAGGAUGUUCGUCGUGGCAACGUUGCUGGUGACAGCAAAAACGACCCACCAAUGGAAGCAGCUGGCUUCACUGCUCAGGUGAUUAUCCUGAACCAUCCAGGCCAAAUAAGUGCUGGCUAUGCCCCUGUGUUGGAUUGCCACACGGCUCACAUUGCAUGCAAGUUUGCUGAGCUGAAGGAAAAGAUUGAUCGCCGUUCUGGUAAAAAACUGGAAGAUGGCCCUAAAUUCUUGAAGUCUGGUGAUGCUGCCAUUGUUGAUAUGGUUCCUGGCAAGCCUAUGUGUGUUGAGAGCUUCUCAGACUAUCCACCUUUGGGUCGCUUUGCUGUUCGUGAUAUGAGGCAGACAGUUGCGGUGGGUGUCAUCAAAGCAGUGGACAAGAAGGCUGCUGGAGCUGGCAAGGUCACCAAGUCUGCCCAGAAAGCUCAGAAGGCUAAAUGAAUAUUAUCCCUAAUACCUGCCACCCCACUCUUAAUCAGUGGUGGAAGAACGGUCUCAGAACUGUUUGUUUCAAUUGGCCAUUUAAGUUUAGUAGUAAAAGACUGGUUAAUGAUAACAAUGCAUCGUAAAACCUUCAGAAGGAAAGGAGAAUGUUUUGUGGACCACUUUGGUUUUCUUUUUUGCGUGUGGCAGUUUUAAGUUAUUAGUUUUUAAAAUCAGUACUUUUUAAUGGAAACAACUUGACCAAAAAUUUGUCACAGAAUUUUGAGACCCAUUAAAAAAGUUUAAUGAGAAAAAAAAAAAAAAAAAAAAAAAAAA